UGGGGAAUAUUGGACAAUGGGGGCAACCCUGAUCCAGCAAUGCCGCGUGAGUGAUGAAGGCCCUAGGGUUGUAAAGCUCUUUCGCACGCGACGAUGAUGACGGUAGCGUGAGAAGAAGCCCCGGCUAACUUCGUGCCAGCAGCCGCGGUAAUACGAAGGGGGCAAGCGUUGUUCGGAAUUACUGGGCGUAAAGGGCGCGUAGGCGGUUCAAUUAGUCAGGCGUGAAAGCCCCGGGCUCAACCUGGGAACUGCGCUUGAUACUGUUGAGCUUGAGUUCCGGAGAGGAUGGUGGAAUUCCCAGUGUAGAGGUGAAAUUCGUAGAUAUUGGGAAGAACACCGGUGGCGAAGGCGGCCAUCUGGACGGAUACUGACGCUGAGGCGCGAAAGCGUGGGGAGCAAACAGG
rnacentral:rRNA from 2 species